ncrna:unclassified sequences TwoGGAY RNA
CUUGAAAGCUGAUUGAGAUAGUUCUUAAACUUUCCCUAAAAACUACAGCAACGAUUUGACAAGGAGGUCAAAUCGAGCGAAAACGCAACACGACGUUGCGUAUGAGCGUUUACGUCCGUAUAAAAACAUAGACGGAAAGUUUUAGAAAUAUCCAAUCAGCUUUCUCG